CUACGGGCCGCUGCAGUGGGGAAUAUUGCACAAUGGAGGAAACUCUGAUGCAGCAACGCCGCGUGGAGGAUGACAUUUUUCGGAGCGUAAACUCCUUUUAUAUAGGAAGAAGAUGACGGUACUAUAUGAAUAAGCGCCGGCUAACUCCGUGCCAGCAGCCGCGGUAAUACGGAGGGCGCAAGCGUUACUCGGAAUCACUGGGCGUAAAGAGCGUGUAGGCGGAUUAAAAAGUCAGAAGUGAAAUCCUAUAGCUUAACUAUAGAACUGCUUCUGAAACUCUUAAUCUAGAAUAUGGGAGAAGUAGAUGGAAUUUCUGGUGUAGGGGUAAAAUCCGUAGAGAUCAGAAGGAAUACCGAUUGCGAAGGCGAUCUACUAGAACAUUAUUGACGCUGAGACGCGAAAGCGUGGGGAGCAAACAGGAUUAGAUACCCCCGUAGUC
rnacentral:rRNA from 1 species